rnacentral:lncRNA from 1 species
AGAGUGAGUAGAACCUGUAAGUAUGAUGGAAUAUCACACUUGUGAUUAGGUUACUAACCAGUUGACUUAGAAUUAAUCAAAAGGAAGAUUAUCCUGGAUGGACCUGAUUUAAUCAAGUGGAAGAAAGUGAAGUGUCAGAGAAGAGAGCCCUGCUGGCAUAAGGAAAGCAAACAGCCAUGUUGUAAACUGCCUGUGGAGCUUAGAAGGCCCAGCUUCCUUGUUACUUGGGCAUCUUCACAAGUCUGUGUCAAGACACGACAUCUGGCUUCUCCCAUGAGAGCGAUUUAAGAGAAUGAGAGAGAUUUAAGAGAAUGAGAGAGAGUGAGAGCCAAGAUGGAAGUGACAGUCCUUUUAUGACCUAAUAUCAGAAUAGCAUCUCAUUACUUCUGCCAUAUUUAAUUUGUUAGAAGUGAAUCAGUAAGUCCAGCCUUCACUCGAAAGAAG